CGAUAGUGGCGCACGGGUGCGUAACGCGUGGGAAUCUGCCCCUUGGUUCGGAAUAACAGUUAGAAAUGACUGCUAAUACCGGAUGACGACGUAAGUCCAAAGAUUUAUCGCCGAGGGAUGAGCCCGCGUAGGAUUAGCUAGUUGGUGUGGUAAAGGCGCACCAAGGCGACGAUCCUUAGCUGGUCUGAGAGGAUGAUCAGCCACACUGGGACUGAGACACGGCCCAG
rnacentral:rRNA from 1 species